UGAAUUGCAGAAUCCCGUGAACCAUCGAGUCUUUGAACGCAAGUUGCGCCCGAGGCCAUUAGGCUGAGGGCACGUCUGCCUGGGCGUCACGCAUCGCGUCAUCCCUCCCCCGAUUCUGGUGUGGACGGGGUG
rnacentral:rRNA from 1 species